AAGCCAUGAUGUGGGAUGGAGUUAAGUAAAUCCUUGUACUUCUCCCAAUAUUGAUAAAAAGAUUCCCCCUCUCUCUUUGUUUAAAAGUUUGAAUUUGAUUCAUGAGUUC